CUGGAGUCCAGGACAGAGUGGGCCCACAAGAAGGAGCAACUAUUAACAUUAGAGCUGCCUCUUACCAGUCUCAGUGGAGGCAAGCCAGUGCUCUGCACACAUUACAAUCCCCGUCUCUGUUCCUCUUCAUCUUCUGUUAUUUCUCAGAGUCCUUGACUGUGCUGGGGUCUCACCGAGGACAGUCCCCAGGGUUGACUUGUUGCCCUGAGGUGUUCCCCAGAGUAAAGCACCCAGAAGUUCCUCCAUAAAUGUCUGUCUGCAUGUUCUUGACUGCACAUAAGUGAGGCUCAAAGGUGUCAGGGGAAGGGGUACCUUUCCAGAGAGCCACUGGGAGGCUCUGUUCUGCCUUCUUGGCCUCCUGCAUCUUCCCAGCCUCCAUGUCCCGCCCCCUGCAGGGAUCCCCACCCCUUCCUCUCCCCAGACAAACUCCAUGGAGCUCCUUUUCCUUUCCUGUUUUCCCACCAGCUGGAAGAUUCUGGAUCUGGGAAAUGUCCUGGGGUAAAUGCUAGGCUAGUUCUAACAGGCCAAUGCGCACAGAAAGUGGGAGGUAUUGAGAGCCCCCCCCCACACCAGUUUCCUCUAUCCCAUCCUGGGAAGGCAAGAUAGAGUCUUGCUCCAAGAUAGUGGGGGCAAUUCAAAGACAAUUUGGGGAGCUAUGAUUGGAGCUUGGGGCUUUUAAGGGCCUUGGAAGUUGUUGGCAAGACCUGGUCCCUGACAGCCAAAGGUAAAGGGUAACAGAUUUUCCUUCCUUUCCUAAGUCUCAGAGAAGGCAGACCCCUGGGUUCUUUGCCUUGGCUCUCCGUGGCUGGCCCUCACAGGCUGUGGGGACGGGUCCUCUACCAGGAGUCUCUGACAUCCCUGCACAGGGGUGGGGUGGGUGGUGGAAUCUUCCAAGCUAGACUCACUUUGACACCAAAAGGGGAGGAGAUGAGGAGUUGAGGAGGGAGUAGUAACUCAGAGAGGGAGGUUCAGUGGUCUGGUGGUCCCUGAAGAGGAGGGGGUAAGUUUGUAAGGACAAAUUGGACCCUGGGAAUGCUCACAGCAGCAUUCAAGCUUCUUUUAUUUCUUUGGUCCAUGACAGGGCUUUCUGUAUAAAUACUCUGCUGAGAGGGCAGCUCCAGCUAAGUCCAUGUGUGCCCUUACGAAGCGCUGAUGCCCAGGUCCCAAUUUGCUUUUGCCCUAAUUCUCUGUCCAGUUUCUUGUUCUGAGCCAGGUCAGGCCAACUUUCCAAAGUCUCCCUCCUACAGAAAUGUGACUUCAUCAAUGCUGAACCUGGGCCCAUCUGGCACAGGGCAGGA